rnacentral:rRNA from 1 species
AUUGAACGCUGGCGGCAUGCCUUACACAUGCAAGUCGAACGGCAGCACGGGUGCUUGCACCUGGUGGCGAGUGGCGAACGGGUGAGUAAUACAUCGGAACAUGUCCUGUAGUGGGGGAUAGCCCGGCGAAAGCCGGAUUAAUACCGCAUACGAUCUACGGAUGACAGCGGGGGACCUUCGGGCCUCGCGCGAUAGGGUUGGCCGAUGGCUGAUUAGCUAGUUGGUGGGGUAAAGGCCUACCAAGGCGACGAUCAGUAGCUGGUCUGAGAGGACGACCAGCCACACUGGGACUGAGACACGGCCCAGACUCCUACGGGAGGCAGCAGUGGGGAAUUUUGGACAAUGGGCGAAAGCCUGAUCCAGCAAUGCCGCGUGUGUGAAGAAGGCCUUCGGGUUGUAAAGCACUUUUGUCCGGAAAGAAAUCCUUGGCCCUAAUACGGUCGGGGGAUGACGGUACCGGAAGAAUAAGCACCGGCUAACUACGUG